rnacentral:misc_RNA from 1 species
AAUCCUCAACCCACCUUCCUUGUGAAUGAGUGAGGUUGGAUGUGGAAGUUUGCUGGCUUUACCGGUCAGCUCUUCUGAAAUGCAUUAGCAGGGCUGCUGCAUUGCGAUGCUGCCGCUUGGUAUUGAUAGUUGUCUUACCAAGUGUCUGAGUUAGCAACGUGCCCCAGCUUCUAGUCGUCUCUCUGGGACAAAAUUUGACG